GAUGAAGAACGUAGCGAAAUGCGAUAAGUAGUGUGAAUUGCAGAAUUCAGUGAAUCAUCGAAUCUUUGAACGCACAUUGCGCCCUUCGGUAUUCCGUUGGGCAUGCCUGUUCGAGCGUCAUUGCUGCCCUCAAGCACGGCUUGUGUGUUGGGCCUCCGUCCUCCUCCCGGGGGACGGGCCCGAAAGGCAGCGGCGGCACCGCGUCCGGUCCUCGAGCGUAUGGGGCUUCGUCACCCGCUCUUGUAGGCCCGGCCGGCGCUUGCCGACACAUCAAUCUUUUUUCCAGGUUGACCUCGGAUCAGGUAGGGAUACCCGCUGAACUUAAGCAUAUCAAUAAGCGGAGGA
rnacentral:misc_RNA from 1 species